GAUGAACGCUGGCGGCGUGCUUAACACAUGCCAGUCGAACGGAAAGGCUCCUGCUUGCCGGGGUCCUCGAGUGGCGAACGGGUGAGUAACACGUGGGUGAUCUGCCCUGCACUUCGGGAUAAGCCUGGGAAACUGGGUCUAAUACCGGAUAGGACCACAUUUUGGAUGGUGUGGUGGAAAGUUUUUCGGUGUGGGAUGAGCUCGCGGCCUAUCAGCUUGUUGGUGGGGUAAUGGCCUACCAAGGCGUCGACGGGUAGCCGGCCUGAGAGGGGGUACGGCCACAUUGGGACUGAGAUACGGCCCAGACUCCUACGGGAGGCAGCAGUGGGGAAUAUUGCACAAUGGGCGCAAGCCUGAUGCAGCGACGCCGCGUGGGGGAUGACGGCCUUCGGGUUGUAAACUCCUUUCGCUAGGGACGAAGCGCAAGUGACGGUACCUGGAGAAGAAGCACCGGCUAACUACGUG
rnacentral:rRNA from 1 species